UGAGGAAUCUUGGACAAUGGGGGCAACCCUGAUCCAGCGACGCCGCGUGAAGGAUGAAGGUCUUCGGAUUGUAAACUUCUUUUGUUCGGGAAUAAAAAAUCUGUGGAAACACGGAGAUUGAAUGUACCGGAUGAAUAAGCCACGGCUAACUUCGUGCCAGCAGCCGCGGUAAUACGAAGGUGGCAAGCGUUACUCGGAAUUACUAGGCGUAAAGGGCAGGUAGGUGGUUUGAUAAGUCUGUUGUGUAAGCUCCCGGCUUAACUGGGAGAGGUCAACAGAAACUGUCAGGCUUGAGUAUAGGAGAGGGUACUGGAAUUCCCGGUGUAGCGGUGAAAUGCGCAGAGAUCGGGAGGAACACCAAUGGCGAAAGCAGGUACCUGGACUAUUACUGACACUCAGCUGCGAAAGCUAGGGGAGCAAACAGG
rnacentral:rRNA from 1 species